rnacentral:rRNA from 1 species
UACGGAGGAUCCGAGCGUUAUCCGGAUUUAUUGGGUUUAAAGGGAGCGUAGGUGGAUUGUUAAGUCAGUUGUGAAAGUUUGCGGCUCAACCGUAAAAUUGCAGUUGAAACUGGCAGUCUUGAGUACAGUAGAGGUGGGCGGAAUUCGUGGUGUAGCGGUGAAAUGCUUAGAUAUCAUGAAGAACUCCGAUUGCGAAGGCAGCUCACUGGACUGCAACUGACACUGAGGCUCGAAAGUGUGGGUAUCAAACAGG